CACUCCUGCGGGAGGCAGCAGUGGGGAAUAUUGCACAAUGGGCGCAAGCCUGAUGCAGCCAUGCCGCGUGUAUGAAGAAGGCCUUCGGGUUGUAAAGUACUUUCAGCGGGGAGGAAGGCGAUAAGGUUAAUAACCUUGUCGAUUGACGUUACCCGCAGAAGAAGCACCGGCUAACUCCGUGCCAGCAGCCGCGGUAAUACGGAGGGUGCAAGCGUUAAUCGGAAUUACUGGGCGUAAAGCGCACGCAGGCGGUCUGUCAAGUCGGAUGUGAAAUCCCCAGGCUCAACCUGGGAACUGCAUUCGAAACUGGCAGGCUAGAGUCUUGUAGAGGGGGGUAGAAUUCCAGGUGUAGCGGUGAAAUGCGUAGAGAUCUGGAGGAAUACCGGUGGCGAAGGCGGCCCCCUGGACAAAGACUGACGCUCAGGUGCGAAAGCGUGGGGAGCAAACAGGAUUAGAUACCCUAGUAGUCCCAUGAU
rnacentral:rRNA from 1 species